rnacentral:rRNA from 1 species
CAGUCGCCGCGGUAAUACGUAGGUGGCAAGCGUUAUCCGGAAUUAUUGGGCGUAAAGCGCGCGUAGGCGGUUUUUUAAGUCUGAUGUGAAAGCCCACGGCUCAACCGUGGAGGGUCAUUGGAAACUGGAAAACUUGAGUGCAGAAGAGGAAAGUGGAAUUCCAUGUGUAGCGGUGAAAUGCGCAGAGAUAUGGAGGAACACCAGUGGCGAAGGCGACUUUCUGGUCUGUAACUGACGCUGAUGUGCGAAAGCGUGGGGAUCAAACAGGAUUAGAUACCCCGGUAGUCCCUGUCUCUUAUAC